AACGUUCCCAGGAAGCAACAACUCAGCCCAGGCAUGGGCUAGUCGGAGCCUGGAGAUCUCAGCUGGGAUCCUGGCGCCUGGGGAAGGGCCCGGCUCUAAAAAUAAACUGCUCGCCUCAGCCUGGGAGCAGCCGUGCGAGCCUGGCGAGCAGGGGCUGCUGCCCGCCACUCCGGGCAGAUGACGGCGGGCCUGGCCCAGCCAGAGUGCCCCCCUCUCUGGCAGCUGGCCACUGGGACAGGCUGGUGGCAGCUGGCAGCCAGGAAUAUUUGACCCCCGACUCCCGGAGGUGCCCCCCCACCCCCAACCGCCCUGCCGCACACGUGAAUACACAUAUGCCCCAACCUGGGACGUGCUCCGCAGAGCGUGGCCAGACUGCUCCCGGGGACCAGCCGGUGAGGGGCAGUGGGGACGCCAGGAGGUGCCCUCCGCAUGCUGGACAGUGACAAGUCUCAGAACAGGAAGCCAACGUGACCUCCUCCGUCUUUCCCCUCAGACCUGUGCAGACUUCCAGGAGGGCACUAGUGGCAGUGGCCCCUCG
rnacentral:lncRNA from 1 species